CAGCCCUUUACACCGGCGUCAAGACGGAGAAAGGGAGGCGCUUCCCGGAGCGGAUUGCAAGCCGCCCCCUUCCUCCGCCUCACCCCAACAGGUGCAGCCGGCGCGCCAAAGGGGCCGGGCGGCUUUUCAGGGGCCGUUGGCUACCGGGUUUCCCAGGCCAACUCGGGAGGCUCCGCUUGGCGACCGCCCAGGCCUCAAAGGUGGCCCUUGCCCGACCCACCGGAGAAAGGGAGAGGUGGGGCCGAUUGCCUCCGGGCGGCGAGGGAAAAGAGGCGCGCCAGGCUCCCCGCGUGGGCCAGGGAGGCGCGCCCCGCCCGGCUCCCCCCGACGUGCGCCUCCACUCACCGUAUAGAGCAGGUUGAGGGCGCACAGGCAGUUCUUGGAGCAGGAGAAGCCGCCGCAAACCAUCGCGCCUCUGCGCUUGUGGCCGCCGCUACUGCGGCGAUCGCCCGCCGAUCGAGUAGAUUUCAAUAGCUGGGGGUGUUGGGUGUGGAUCUACUCUACCCCACCCCCUCUUUGGCUAUCUGAGGAGCGGUCCUCAGCUGCCGGAGGAUCGCACGCUCCUGGCAGAAAGGAUCAGAGGCGGCGAGGGCGGCGGAGAAGCCCCUGUUUCCCAGCGAGCUGGAAGAAGCGGCGGCUGCACCAGCUAUGGGAAGCUCGAGGGGGCCGGGCCAGGAGCAGCAGCCGCGCGCGCCCAUUGGCUGGCCGGAGGAGACAAAGGUUCCUUGCCACCCUGAGACUGAAGACAACAUCGACAUCAUCAAAAUAAAAUUUUGGCCCCUUUGUUGUCUUUCAAUGGCAUCGCUGGCAAGUGGACAAUAUAUCUAAGCAGCGGGAAUCA